AGUGAACGCUGGCGGUAGGCCUAACACAUGCAAGUCGAACGGCAGCACAGGAGGGCUUGCUCUCUGGGUGGCGAGUGGCGGACGGGUGAGGAAUACAUCGGAAUCUACUCUGUCGUGGGGGAUAACGUAGGGAAACUUACGCUAAUACCGCAUACGACCUACGGGUGAAAGCAGGGGAUCUUCGGACCUUGCGCGAUUGAAUGAGCCGAUGUCGGAUUAGCUAGUUGGCGGGGUAAAGGCCCACCAAGGCGACGAUCCGUAGCUGGUCGGGGAGGAUGAUCAGCCACACUGGAACUGAGACACGGUCCAGACUCCUACGGGAGUCAGCAGUGGGGAAUAUUGGACAAUGGGCGCAAGCCUGAUCCAGCCAUACCGCGUGGGUGAAGAAGGCCUUCGGGUUGUAAAGCCCUUUUGUUGGGAAAGAAAUCCAGCUGGCUAAUACCCGGUUGGGAUGACGGUACCCAAAGAAUAAGCACCGGCUAACUUCGUGCCAGCCGCCGCAGUAA
rnacentral:rRNA from 1 species